GUGUUUUGUCUGGAUGUGUGUCUGGAAGUGUGCUCUUCAGCAGCCAGACCAGUGCAUGGUGUCCCCCGGGACUAGAGUCACAGACACGAGCUGCUGUGUGGGCGUGGGGAUUAACCCCUGACCCUCUAGAAGAGUCCUCAGUGCUCUUAAUCAGGAAGCCAUUCCUGCAACCUCUAGAGUUGCAGGAACUCUACAACAUCUACAACAUCUGAUGGUGUGGUAGCCCCUGAGGAAGUGGGAAGAGAGGCGGGCACAAGGACAGGGUGAAGAGCAGGGUCUCCCUCUGCAAGACAGCACCUGGAGUUUUUACUAGGGGACUCCAGGGCACAUGUGACAAUGUUUGACAGCUUUUGUGGUUCUCCCCAUGGCUGGCUUGGUACUGUGGUAGUCCAGGCUAACCUCAAACUCAGCAAUCCUCUUGCUUCUGCCUCCAGAGUACUGAGGUUACAGGUGUGAGUAGUCACACUUGGCCAGCAAUGUUAGUAAACAUCUUGAAAGACACAGGGCAGCCCUCAGAACAAAAGUUACAUCGCAUUGCUCAAAAGAAAGACUGACCAAUCCUCAGUUAGAGAUGCUGCUCUGUGAGGUUUCUUUUCUUUCUCUCCUUUUUUUUUUUUUUUUUUUUUUUUUUUUUUUUUGAAAUAGGGCCUCAUAGUCCAGGCUGACUUUGUGAUCCUCCUGCCUCUGCAUUUUGAGUAGUCUGUAGUUUACUUCUAAUAAAAGUACUCUACACUGGAGCCUGGGGUCUACACUGUGAUCUAAUCGGGGUCCACCUUUGCCUUGGAUCCACUCACUCAGGGCUGGGGUACAACGGUGGACACCUGUGAUUCCAGCACCUGGAGAGCUAACUCAGUGGUUAAGGGUACUUCCUGCUCCAUCCAAAGGACGUGAGUAUGGUUUGAAGCACAAUGUCUGGUGUCUCCCAACCACCAGCAACUCAAGCUCAUGGGAUCUGAUGCCCUAUUCUGGCCUCCACGGGUACAAGCACUCACGUGCACAUCCUCAGCACAGACACACAUGCAAACACAUAAUUGAAAUAAUAAAAAUCUUUUUAAAAAGUCAGCUGUUUGGCGGGCAUUGGUGGUGCGCGCCUUUAAUUCCAGCACUUGGGAGGCAGAGGCAGGCAGAUCUCUGUGAGUUCGAGGCCAGCCUGGUCUCCAGAGCGAGUGCCAGGAUAGGCUCCAAAGCCACAGAGAAACCCUGUCUCCGAAAACAAAACAAAACAAACAACAACAAAAAAGUCAGCUGUUCUACGGAGAGG
rnacentral:lncRNA from 1 species